rnacentral:rRNA from 1 species
GUCCACGCCGUAAACGAUGAGUGCUAGAUGCUGUGGGUAUUGACCCCCGCGGUGUCGCAGCCAACGCGUUAAGCACUCCGCCUGGGGAGUACGGCCGCAAGGCUAAAACUCAAAGGAAUUGACGGGGGCCCGCACAAGCGGUGGAGCAUGUGGUUCAAUUCGACGCAACGCGCAGAACCUUACCUGGGUUAAAUCCACCAGAACCUUGCAGAGAUGUAGGGGUGCCCUUCGGGGAACUGGUGAGAAGGUGCUGCAUGGCUGUCGU